CGGCUCGGGCUAUAAACUUCCCACUGGCCAAAAUAAAAAUUUGGAAGUAGAAGGUAAUAUGGUAAUACCA